AUUGAACGCUGGCGGCAUGCCUUACACAUGCAAGUCGAACGGUAACGGGCCUUCGGGUGCCGACGAGUGGCGAACGGGUGAGUAAUACAUCGGAACGUGCCCGAUCGUGGGGGAUAACGAGGCGAAAGCUUUGCUAAUACCGCAUACGAUCUACGGAUGAAAGCAGGGGACCGCAAGGCCUUGCGCGGACGGAGCGGCCGAUGGCAGAUUAGGUAGUUGGGGGGAUAAAAGCUUACCAAGCCGACGAUCUGUAGCUGGUCUGAGAGGAUGAUCAGCCACACUGGGACUGAGACACGGCCCAGACUCCUACGGGAGGCAGCAGUGGGGAAUUUUGGACAAUGGGCGCAAGCCUGAUCCAGCCAUGCCGCGUGCAGGAUGAAGGCCUUCGGGUUGUAAACUGCUUUUGUACGGAACGAAAAGCCUUCUUUUAAUACAGGAGGGUCAUGACGGUACCGUAAGAAUAAGCACCGGCUAACUACGUG
rnacentral:rRNA from 1 species